CUGUUCGCCAAUUAAAGUGGUACGUGAGCUGGGUUCAAAACGUCGUGAGACAGUUUGGUCCUCUAUCCGCUGUGGGCGUAGGAGAUUUGAGGGGUUCAUUCCCUAGUACGAGAGGACCGGGAAUGACGAGCCUCUGGUGUUCCGGUUAUCAUGUCAAUGGUAGCGCCGGGUAGCUAAGCUCGGAAUGGAUAAGCGCUGAAAGCAUCUAAGCGCCAAGCCGUUCCCAAGAUAAGAUCUCCCUGAAGAGUCCUAGAAGACCACUAGGUUGAUAGGCUGGAUGUGUAAGUGCAGUAAUGCAUUGAGCUAACCAGUACUAAUGGCUCGUUCGUUUUGUUUUGGAAAAU
rnacentral:rRNA from 1 species